AGAGUUUGAUUCUGGCUCAGAACGAACGCUGGCGGCGUGGAUAAGACAUGCAAGUCGAACGCUUGGUCGGUUGCAGCAAUGUGGCCGGCCGGGAGUGGCGCAAGGGUGCGUAACACGUGGGUAAUCCGCCCCGAAGACCGGGAUAACUCCGAGAAAUCGGAGCUAAUACCGGAUGUAACCGCAGGACGGCAUCGUCCAGCGGUAGAAGCUGGGGACCGUAAGGCCUGGCACUUCGGGAUGAGCCCGCGGCCUAUCAGCUAGUUGGCGGGGUAAUGGCCCACCAAGGCGAAGACGGGUAGCUGGUCUGAGAGGACGACCAGCCACACUGGAACUGAGACACGGUCCAGACACCUACGGGUGGCAGCAGUCGAGAAUUUUUCACAAUGGGCGAAAGCCCGAUGGAGCGACGCCGCGUGGGGGAUGAAUGGCUUCGGCCCGUAAACCCCUGUCAUUUGCGAGCAAUUCCCCGGCGUGAACAGCGCCGGGGUUGAUAGUAGCAAAAGAGGAAGGGACGGCUAACUUUGUGCCAGCAGCCGCGGUAAUACAGAGGUCCCGAGCGUUGUUCGGAUUUACUGGGCGUAAAGGGUGCGUAGGUGGUGGAGUAAGUUUGGUGUGAAAUCUUCGGGCCCAACCCGAAAACGUCAUCAAAUACUAUUCCGCUCGAGGGUUGAAAAGGGGACUGGAAUUCUCGGUGUAGCAGUGAAAUGCGUAGAUAUCGAGAGGAACACCAGUGGCGAAGGCGGGUCCCUAGGCAACUCCUGACACUGAGGCACGAAAGCUAGGGGAGCAAACAGGAUUAGAUACCCUGGUAGUCCUAGCCCUAAACGGUGCACAUUUGCUGUGGGCGGAAUCAACCCCGUCCGUGGCGUAGCUAACGCGUUAAAUGUGCCGCCUGGGGAGUACGGUCGCAAGAUUAAAACUCAAAGAAAUUGACGGGGGCCUGCACAAGCGGUGGAGUAUGUGGCUUAAUUCGAUACAACGCGAAGAACCUUACCUGGCCUUGACAUGCAGGUGGUAGAAGGGUGAAAGCCCGACGAUCCCGCAAGGGAAGCUUGCACAGGUGCUGCAUGGCUGUCGUCAGCUCGUGUCGUGAGAUGUUGGGUUAAGUCCCGCAACGAGCGCAACCCCUGUGUCCUGUUGCAAACCGGGCGCAAGCCCGGUGCACUCCGGACAGACUGCCUCGCUUCAACGAGGAGGAAGGUGGGGAUGACGUCAAGUCAGUAUGGCCCUUAUGGCCAGGGCUGCACACGUACUACAAUGCCUGGCACAAUGGGAAGCAAGGCCGUAAGGCGGAGCAAAUCCCAAAAAACCAGGCCCAGUUCAGAUUGCUGGCUGCAACUCGCCGGCAUGAAGCUGGAAUCGCUAGUAAUGGCGUAUCAGCUACGACGCCGUGAAUACGUUCCCAGGCCUUGUACACACCGCCCGUCACAUCAUGAAAGCCGCUUGUACCCGAAGUCGCCGUGCCAACCGCAAGGAAGCAGGUGCCGAAGGUAUGAACGGUGAUUGGGAUGAAGUCGGAACAAGGUA
rnacentral:rRNA from 1 species